UACUACCGAAGCUACGGCAUCAGUAAUGAUGGGUAGGGGAGCUUCCCAUACGGGUUGAAGCAUGACCGUAAGGACAUGUGGACAGUAUGGGAGUGAGAAUGUUGGCAUGAGUAGCGAGAUGUGGGUGAGAAUCCCACAGGCCGUAAACCCAAGGUUUCCAGGGGAAGGUUCGUCCGCCCUGGGUUAGUCGGGACCUAAGCUGAGGCCGAAAGGCGUAGGGGAUGGACAACAGGUUGAUAUUCCUGUACUACCGAUAACCGUUUGAGAGAAGGGAUGACACAGUAGGAUAAGCUAAGCACACGGUUGGUUAUGUGUGCCCAAGCAUUGAGGCAGUCAAAGUAGGCAAAUCCGCUUUGAUAAUGCUGGGAUGUGAUGGGGAGCGAAAUUUAGUAGCGAAGUAGCUGAUUUCACACUGUCAAGAAAAGUCUCUAUCGAGGUUAAAGGUACCCGUACCGCAAACCGACACAGGUG
rnacentral:rRNA from 1 species